rnacentral:rRNA from 1 species
CCUACGGGUGGCAGCAGUGAGGAAUAUUGCACAAUGGGGGAAACCCUGAUGCAGCGACGCCGCGUGAGCGAGGAAUGAUUUCUGUAUGGAAAACUCUAUCUGCAGGGACGAAAAAAGCCGAUACCUCACUAAGAAGCCCCGGCUAAAUACGUGCCAUCAGCCGCGGUAAUACGGAGGGGGGAAGCGUUAGGCGGAUUGACUGGGUGUAAAGGGAUCGUAGACGGGAAGGCAAGCCAGGCGGGAAAGUGCAGGGCUGAAACCCGUACAUGCCUUUGGAACUGUGGUGCUAGAGUGCAGGAGAGGUAAGUGGAAUGCGUGGUGUAGCGGUGAAAUGCGUAGAUAUUAGGAGGAACCCCAGUGGCGAAGGCAGCUUACUGGACUGUAACUGACGUUGAGGCUCGAAAGCGUGGGGAGCAAACAGGAUUAGAUACCCGAGUAGUC